GCGGGUCUCACCAGCUGUAACAGCAUCUCCAUUUGGAAAAACUGUGGCAUCCAGUGGAGCUGCUGUUAUCUGUGGAGGGACACCU
rnacentral:pre_miRNA from 1 species